GCGCUCGUAGCUCAGAGGAUAGAGCAUUCCGUUGCUAGCGGGUGGGUCGCAGGUUCGAAUCCUGUCGGGCGCUCCA
rnacentral:tRNA from 2 species